ACAGAGGGUGCAAGCGUUAAUCGGAUUUACUGGGCGUAAAGCGUACGUAGGCGGCUAAUUAAGUCGGAUGUGAAAUCCCCGAGCUCAACUUGGGAAUUGCAUUCGAUACUGGUUAGCUAGAGUAUGGGAGAGGAUGGUAGAAUUCCAGGUGUAGCGGUGAAAUGCGUAGAGAUCUGGAGGAAUACCGAUGGCGAAGGCAGCCAUCUGGCCUAAUACUGACGCUGAGGUACGAAAGCAUGGGGAGCAAACAG
rnacentral:rRNA from 1 species